ACCCAACAACCAUAUCGCUCCUCUAGAGAAUCCCCUGAGAGCACGGCUCCUCACCAUGGACUGGACCUGGAGGGUCAUCUUCUUGGUGGCAGCAGCCACAGGUGCUCACUCCCCGGUGCAGCUGGUGCAGUCUGGGGCUGAGGUGAAGAAGCCUGGUCCUCAGUGAAGGUCUCCUACAAGGCUUUACAAGCUCUGCUAUGCAGUGAGUGCAACAAGCCCAUGGACAAGGCCUUGAGUGGAUUAGAUGGAUCAUCGCUGGCAAUGGUAACACAGGCUAUGCACAGAACGUCCAGGGCAGAGUCAACAUGACCACAUACAUGCCUACGAACACAGCCUACAUGGAGCUGAGCAGCCUGAGAUCUGAGAACACGGCCGUGUAUUACUGUGUGAGAGACACAGUGUGAAAACCCACAUCCUGAGAGUGUCAAAAACCCCAGGAAGGAGGCAGCUGUGCUGGCAUAGAGGAGAUGACAAAGAUUAUUAGAUUGAAGACUUUCUUAGAAAAUGAUAUUAAGUCAUUAACAAGAAGGAACAAUAUAAAUGUGUAUUUGAGAAAUUUUAGUUAUUUGGGAGAUUUUUCAUACCUUUAUUCUGUAAGCAAAUUUCAGGGUUUGGAGAAUGAAUCAAAUGAAUAAAGCUGAUAUAGAAUUUCCUCUGAAGGUAUCUUUGUAAACAUCAAUUUCUGAAUCAGUGUUGUAAAUAUUUUGGAACACAGACACAAGUUCACAUUUUAACUCUACCUUUUUAUCUAUUAAAAAACACCAAAAAUAGG